rnacentral:rRNA from 1 species
UGGUGGAGCAUGUGGUUUAAUUCGAUGCAACGCGAAGAACCUUACCAAGGCUUGACAUGAACUGGAAAUACCUGGAAACAGGUGCCCCGCUUGCGGUCGGUUUACAGGUGGUGCAUGGUUGUCGUCAGCUCGUGUCGUGAGAUGUUGGGUUAAGUCCCGCAACGAGCGCAACCCUCGUUCUAUGUUGCCAGCACGUUAUGGUGGGGACUCAUAGGAGACUGCCGGGGUCAACUCGGAGGAAGGUGAGGACGACGUCAAAUCAUCAUGCCCCUUAUGUCUUGGGCUUCACGCAUGCUACAAUGGCCGGUACAAUGGGUUGCGAUACUGUGAGGUGGAGCUAAUCCCAAAAAGCCGGUCUCAGUUCGGAUUGGGGUCUGCAACUCGACCCCANGAAGUCGGAGUCG